rnacentral:tRNA from 1 species
CGGGCUGUAGCGCAGCUUGGUAGCGCGCUUGCUUCGGGAGCAAGAGGCCCCGGGUUCAAAUCCCGGCAGCCCGACCA